UACGUAGGGUGCAAGCGUUAAUCGGAAUUACUGGGCGUAAAGCGUGCGCAGGCGGUUAUGUAAGACAGAUGUGAAAUCCCCGGGCUUAACCUGGGAACUGCGCUUCUAACUGGCAGGCUUGAGUGUGGCAGAGGGGGGUGGAAUUCCACGUGUAGCAGUGAAAUGCGUAGAGAUGUGGAGGAACACCGAUGGCGAAGGCAGCCCCCUGGGCUAACACUGACGCUCAUGCACGAAAGCGUGGGGAGCAAACAGG
rnacentral:rRNA from 1 species